CACACCCAGAGGGGCACAACUCACCACUGGCAGAGGCCAGGAUCAUGGCCUGCAGCAUCUCUGUGUCAAACUGGUUGUUGGGCCACGUGCCGGUCUCAUCGCCAUUCUGGGAGCUGCCGAAAGAGUGGGGUGGUGAUAAAUGCAGGGCUCAGAGGGGCUGAGAGACUCCCGAAGCUGCAUAGCUGCUCACCGGCAGAACUGGAACCUGAAGGGGCCUCCUGUGAUCCUGAAGCCCAUAUGCUCUUAUACCUGGCACUGCCCUGGGCUUCCCCACGGAGCCCCUGCAGCGGGGAGAGGGAGCUCCUCCAGGAUUUAGGAGACGGUGAAAAAUAAAAGUGCAGGCGAUGGACUACCUCUAAUUGACCAUUUUCCAAGCAUCUCCUAUGUGUGAGCGCCUGUGGCAGGCCCUAAGACGCAAUGUGACCCAGCACUGACUUGAACUUGGACUGGGUUUACUGGAGAACUCGACAGCAGCCCUGCUCUGAAGCUGGUGUGCCAGUAGCCAAGAUGGUAGGGAGGAAGUGGAGCAGAGAACUGGUGGAGGGCCGGAACCAGAGUUAGGCUGAACAAGAGAAAUCUCCCCUCUUCGUCCUCUCACUCCAAUUGACUCACCAGAAUGGCAGCAAAGAAAGAAUUCCCCGUCAGUCUGCUGAUCCUGAGAGGCCUCACCACAGGGCCUUUGCAUAUGCUCUUCCCUCCUUCCUUCAGCUGGUUAUUUUAUACUUAGCCUUCAGAUCUCAGCAACACCUCUUUUCCUCUUAGAUUUCCCUCUGCUCCCAGACCUGGUCAAACCCCUAUUUUAUGCUCUCACCACCAGGUACUGCUCUUCAUAGCACUUGGGAUAACUGCAAUCUUACACUUAUUUUGUAUUUUGGGUUAAUAUUUGUCUCACUCAACAUAUGGUAAACUCCUCAAGGACCGGGAACAGGCCUAUUUUAUUACCUCCUACACCUAGAAUACGACCUGGCCUCCAGGAGGUGCUUACUAACUAUGGAAUGAAUGAAGGAGAAAAGCUGCAGUUGCUGGACUGAGCCCUUAAUGUUCAUUUCAUCUGGGCCAUUUCGGAAUUCCGACAGUAAUGUGUGUCCCAUCCCCCUCAAGUUAACUAAGGAAGAGAACCUUCUCUUACAUCUCCCCAAGAGCUCCUAUGUGUAUUUCAGGCCACCAAGUCUCUCAUUUGAUGAAAAGGGACUUGAGGCAGGGGUAAGGUGCUCAACCCAGAGGGCACAUCACAAGCAGUCUAUGGGCCUUCCAGUGGCAGCAGUGAAUUCUGCUCCAGGACCAGUACACGGUGUGGGGUGGAGGUGGGGGGUACAGGGUCCACAAGCUGCCCAGUGCUUCUCACCACCUCAGCUCACUUCCUCCUGGAGGCUUUCUCUACACUCACAUGAACUUGCUAAGAUUUGCAACUAGACAUUUUUAGUGCGAUUUGUUGUCAAUUUUCUGUCUCACCUGCUGGCCUGGAAGUCUUUGAGUUCAAAGAUGAUGUCUGCUUGUUCAAUCUUGUAGGACAGUGUUUAGAACAGGGCCUGGCUCAUAGUAGAGGCCCAAUAAAUAAGUGAUGAAUGAAUGAACACGUGAGUGAACACAUGAAUGACCCAACAAAUAAGCGACAGAAAGGCUGGCAAGGCCACUAGGGCAAAAGAAGACAGAUGGGGUCAAGGGAGGGGCAAGGGCAGUCCAAGCCAUUUGGCUUGCUGCCUCCUAGGGCCCUUCUAGGAAAUGUCCCGGGUUCUGGAUACAUGUGCAGGACUGCAGGAG